rnacentral:rRNA from 1 species
GUAGUUAGCCGUGGCUUAUUCAUCAGGUACCGUCACUUGCUUCGUCCCUGAUAAAAGAAGUUUACAACCCGAAAACCUUCUUCCCUCACGCGGCGUUGCUGGGUCAGGCUUGCGCCCAUUGCCCAAUAUUCCCCACUGCUGCCUCCCGUAGGAGUCUGGACCGUGUCUCAGUUCCAGUGUGGCCGAUCAGCCUCUCAGCUCGGCUACCCAUCGUCGGCUUGGUGGGCUGUUAUCUCACCAACUACCUAAUGGGACGCGAACCCCUCUAAAAGCGAUAAAUCUUUGACCUCUUCCCGAUGCCGGGUUGUGGUCUUAUGCGGUAUUAGCAGUUGUUUCCACCUGUUAUUCCCCACUCUUAGGCAGGUUGUUCACGCGUUACUCACCCGUGCGCCACUAGAAUUAUCAAUUCCAUCCGAAAACUUCCUUAAUAAUCCCCGUUCGACUUGCAUGUGUUAGGCACGCCGCCAGCGUUCGUCCUAAGCCAGAAUCAAACUCUGA